AUGUAGUACAGUAUAUCAAGAAUACAAUUAAGGAGUACAAAUGUCCUUUACAGUACAGACAGUACAUAAUGAAAUUCAGGUGUUAUAAGACUUCUAAUGUUCAAUACAGCCAGUAGAAAGAUUUUAAAGAAACUGCUCAGUAUCAAAGGUGUAGCUAGCCCGUCUGAUCAACAACAAGUCUUGGAAUACCAUAUAUAGUCCAUGUUCGCAGUUCGCAUUAUGCCCCCAUAGUGUCCUCCAUGUGGGUUGCUAAAUGAAACAAUUUUUCAUCUGUUUCUGCACUGUUCUUUGACAUUGCACCUUUGGCAUGAGCUACACUGCAGCCUAGAAAAUCAUGUUAUUCCUUGGUGUUAACUUCUGAUUCAGUGAAAGACUUGUUAAUUGCUUGGCCAAAAGCUAAAGGUCUGCAUCUUACGAAACGCCUAUGGGAUCUUCUACCGUCAUCUGGAAUUUGUGGAAAUUGUAAGGAACGAGAAGACUUUCAGGGAUCGUAUGGUAUCUGUUGAAAGGUUGUGCGUUGAGGUAAAAGCGACAUUAUGGUACUGGGUUGGGUGUUGGCCAAGAAGGAAGUUUUACUGCUUUCAGGAUGUGUUGUUGCGCUGGUUUGAACUGCUGAAUGGUCUCUUGGAACAAUAUAAUUCACUAGACUAUUAGAGUUUAAACUUAGCAGGUUUUGUAACUGACCUUGAACGGAUCAGGUUGUAUUUUUUCCCUUCUAAUAAAAUGAUUCUUAUCAAACAAGUAAAUAAAUAUAUAUAUAUAGUAGGUUGUUGACUUGUCUAGGCCUUUCCAGGGGAUACAAGCGGCACAACCUUCCAGGAUUCGUGACCAUGUAGAUUGGCACCAUUGAAGCUUUGUCAGGUUGUGAAGAUUGGUUCGACAGAGGGGUGGCUGUCCAGCAGAUGAUCAAACUGGUGUCAAUAAUGUCAUCAUCUAGAAAGCUUUUCCAUAAAGAUUAUCUAUAGCUGCAUUACCUGGGCGGAGAGUUGAUAUAGCGU
rnacentral:lncRNA from 1 species